rnacentral:lncRNA from 1 species
UGAAAGUCAGGUCGGAUUAAGCCAUAGUACGGAAAAAACUAUGCUACCUGUGAGCCCCGUCCAAGGACGUAAAAGGAAGUCAGGCCAUCACCAAAUGCCACAGCUUGAGUAAACUGUGCAGCCUGUAGCUCCACCUGAGGAGGUGUAAAAAACCCCGGGAGGCCACAAACCAUGGAAGCUGUACGCAUGGCGUAGUGGACUAGCGGUUAGAGGAGACCCCUCCCUUACAAAUCGCAGCAACAACGGGGG